rnacentral:rRNA from 1 species
CGCGUAGGCGGCCCGAGAAGUCGGAUGUGAAAGCCCGGGGCUCAACCCCGGAACGGCAUUCGAAACUUUUGGGCUCGAGAACGGAAGAGGAGAGUGGAAUACCCAGUGUAGAGGUGAAAUUCGUAGAUAUUGGGUGGAACACCGGUGGCGAAAGCGGCUCUCUGGUCCGGAUCUGACGCUGAGGCGCGAAAGCGUGGGGAGCAAACA